CGGCUCCUACGGGGGGCAGCAGUGGGGGAUAUUGCACAAUGGGGGAAACCCUGAUGCAGCGACGCCGCGUGUGGGAAGACGGUCCUCUGGAUUGUAAACCACUGUCCCCAGGGACGAAAAUGACGGUACCUGGGGAGGAAGCUCCGGCUAACUACGUGCCAGCAGCCGCGGUAAUACGUAGGGAGCGAGCGUUGUCCGGAAUUACUGGGUGUAAAGGGAGCGUAGGCGGGGAUGCAAGUUGGGUGUCACAACUCCCGGCCCACCUGGUAGUCGCACUCCAAAC
rnacentral:rRNA from 1 species